UACGUAGGGUGCAAGCGUUAAUCGGAAUUACUGGGCGUAAAGCGUGCGCAGGCGGUUAUGCAAGACAGAUGUGAAAUCCCCGGGCUCAACCUGGGAACUGCAUUUGUGACUGCAUAGCUAGAGUGCGGCAGAGGGAGAUGGAAUUCCGCGUGUAGCAGUGAAAUGCGUAGAUAUGCAGAGGAACACCGAUGGCGAAGGCAAUCUCCUGGGCCUGCACUGACGCUCAUGCACGAAAGCGUGGGGAGCAAACAGG
rnacentral:rRNA from 1 species